rnacentral:rRNA from 1 species
GUCUUCGGAUGCUGACGAGUGGCGAACGGGUGAGUAAUACAUCGGAACGUGCCCAGUCGUGGGGGAUAACUACGCGAAAGCGUAGCUAAUACCGCAUACGAUCUAUGGAUGAAAGCGGGGGAUCGCAAGACCUCGCGCGAUUGGAGCGGCCGAUGGCAGAUUAGGUAGUUGGUGGGGUAAAGGCUCACCAAGCCGACGAUCUGUAGCUGGUCUGAGAGGACGACCAGCCACACUGGGACUGAGACACGGCCCAGACUCC